UACGGAGGGGAGCUAGCGUUGUUCGGAAUUACUGGGCGUAAAGCGCGCGUAGGCGGCUAUUCAAGUCAGAGGUGAAAGCCCGGGGGCUCAACCCCCGGAACUGCCUUUGAAACUAGGUAGCUAGAAUCUUGGAGAGGCGAGUGGAAUUCCGAGUGUAGAGGUGAAAUUCGUAGAUAUUCGGAAGAACACCAGUGGCGAAGGCGACUCGCUGGACAAGUAUUGACGCUGAGGUGCGAAAGCGUGGGGAGCAACAGG
rnacentral:rRNA from 1 species